rnacentral:lncRNA from 1 species
UUGAGUCCCCAAUCAGCGAGAUUCUCUCUCUCCACACUUUUCUUUUUCUGUGUGUCCGUUGGAACCAAACAGUUCUCUUUCUCUCUCCUUUCUUUGUCAAACAAACACACAGACAACACACAAACACACACUCCCUUUCAUUCUUUUUCUUCACUCUCUCCCACUCUCUCUAUCUCUUUCACACACAUUACAUUACACAACCCUUUUUCUUUUUCUUCUUCCACCGUAACAUGACCACACUCUUUACAAUCACACACCACCAUUUACGGUUAUGAAUCCCCAACCACAAACUCAACAACAACCACCACCACCACCACAACAACAACCACCUCCACCGCCACAGCUUCAACCAAACCGUCCCUCCACCUCCUGUGACAUCCACCCUCAAGAGACUUUCACAGGCUUCUGCCCUUCAUGCCUAUGCGAACGCCUCGCCGUUCUCGAUCCAAACAACAACAACAACGCCUCCUCCUCUUCCACCUCCAACCGCAAACCGCCCACUUCCUCCACUGCCGCCGCUGCACUUAAAGCCAUUUUCCGUCCUUCCACUUCCCAGCGCA